AGAUUGAACGCUGGCGGCAUGCCUUACACAUGCAAGUCGAACGCGAAAGCGGAGCAAUCCGCAAGUAGAGUGGCGAACGGGUGAGUAAUACAUCGGAACAUUUCCAGUAGCGGGGGGAUAACCUGUCGAAAGAUAGGCUAAUACCGCAUACGCCCCAAGGGGGAAAGCGGAGGACCGCAAGGCUUCGCACUAUUGGAGUGGCCGAUGUCGGAUUAGCUAGUUGGCGGGGUAAAAGCCCACCAAGGCUACGAUCCGUAGCUGGUCUGAGAGGACGAUCAGCCACACUGGAACUGAGACACGGUCCAGACUCCUACGGGAGGCAGCAGGUGGGGAAUUUGGACAAUGGGCGCAAGCCUGAUCCAGCCAUGCCGCGUGAGUGAAGAAGGCCUUCGGGUUAGGUAAGUACUCGUUUCGGUGGGGUAAGGAAAGUAGGUACGGUGCUAAUACCGAACGGACUGAUGACGGUACCGAAGAAGAAGACGACGCUAACUACGUGCACGCACGCGCGGU
rnacentral:rRNA from 1 species